rnacentral:rRNA from 1 species
CCUACGGGAGGCAGCAGUGGGGAAUUUUGGACAAUGGGCGCAAGCCUGAUCCAGCAAUGCCGCGUGCAGGAUGAAGGCCCUCGGGUUGUAAACUGCUUUUGUACGGAGCGAAACGGUCUCUUCUAAUACAGGGGGCUAAUGACGGUACCGUAAGAAUAAGCACCGGCUAACUACGUGCCAGCAGCCGCGGUAAUACGUAGGGUGCAAGCGUUAAUCGGAAUUACUGGGCGUAAAGCGUGCGCAGGCGGUUUUGUAAGACAGAUGUGAAAUCCCCGGGCUCAACCUGGGACCUGCAUUUGUGACUGCAAGGCUGGAGUACGGUAGAGGGGGAUGGAAUUCCGCGUGUAGCAGUGGAAUGCGUAGAUAUGCGGAGGAACACCGAUGGCGAAGGCAAUCCCCUGGACCUGUACUGACGCUCAUGCACGAAAGCGUGGGGAGCAAACAGGAUUAGAUACCCUGGUAGUCCACGCCCUAAACGAUGUCAACUGGUUGUUGGGUCUUUACUGACUCAGUAACGAAGCUAACGCGUGAAGUUGACCGCCUGGGGAGUACGGCCGCAAGGUUGAAACUCAAAUUGAAUUGACGG